AAAAACAAGAAUAUGUGUGCUCAGAAGCACGCCCAGUGCCACAUCAUGGAAGAGGGAGGCCAGCAAAAGACUGGGCCAAAUCUCCACGGUCUCUUUGGAAAGAAGACAGGUCAGGCUGUUGGAUUCACUUACACAGACGCCAAUAAGAAAAAAAGCAUUGCCUGGGGAGAGGAUACACUGAUACAGUAUUUGGAGAAUCCCAAGAAGUCUAUUCCUGGAACAAAAAUUAUCUUUGCCAGCAUUAAUAAGGUAGAAAGGGCAGAUUUGAUAGCUUACCUCAAAAAAGCUACUAAUGGCUAGG
rnacentral:lncRNA from 1 species